rnacentral:rRNA from 1 species
UACGUAGGGGGCAAGCGUUAUUCGGAUUCACUGGGCGUAAAGGGUGCGCAGGCGGCCGAGUGUGUGAGGCGUGAAAGCCCGGGGCUUAACCCCGGAAUUGCACCUCAAACUACACGGCUAGAGCAUUGGAGAGGGUAGCAGAAUUCAUGGUGUAGCAGUGAAAUGCGUAGAUAUCAUGAGGAAUACCAGAGGCGAAGGCGGCUACCUGGACAAUUGCUGACGCUCAGGCACGAAAGCGUGGGGGAGCAAACAGG